rnacentral:lncRNA from 1 species
CAAAAUAAACAUUUGUGAGAUAUUCCAAUCGAAUUUGAGAAUUCUAUUCAAUGAUUCUUGAUAAAGAGAACAGUAAAACCUAAAAAAUAUAUCUCCAAUGGUAUUUGAUGAAAUAUUCGAAAGCAAAAAAAAACACUAAGAAAAAUUGUAUCUAUUCCAACAUUGACUGAUCAGGUCCUGGAGAAGCUGAUGAAGAAUCCGUCUGAUCUGUGUCCCCAUUUGUUCUAUCACUACUGUUAUUGAUAGAAAAACUAACCCAAAUUUGUCUCCUCUCUCCCUCUUCGUUACCAGAGAAAAUUUUCUGGUGAAAAUCUUGAUCUUCAUC